rnacentral:rRNA from 1 species
AUGAGACCUGACCCUGCUUUUGCUACUUCACCUAUCUAUGUUGCCGAUAAGGAUUAUGAAUUCUCUGUUGAUCCUGAUAUAAUUACUUUGGUUGAAUCCGAUCCUUUUCAUGGCUAUGAAUCUGAAACUGUUGUAGCACAUCUUACUAAAUUAAAUGAUAUAGCCACCCUGUUCACUAAUGAUGAGAGAUCUCGCUACUUUUAUAUCCUUAAAAUAUUUCCAUUCUCAUUAAAGGGUGAUGCUAAGAUAUGGUUUAAUUCUCUUGAUCCUGGUUGUGUGCGUAGUCCCCAAGAUAUGAUCUAUUACUUCUCUGCUAAAUAUUUCCCUGCUCAUAAGAAACAAGCUGCUUUAAAGGAAAUAUACAACUUUGUGCAAAUUAAAGAGGAGAGUCUCCCACAAGCUUGGGGGAGGCUUCUCAAGUUACUUAAUGCUUUGCCUGAUCAUCCUCUUAAGAAAAAUGAAAUACUUGAUAUCUUUUACAAUAGACUAACUGAUGCUUCCAGAGAUUACCUGGAUAGUUGUGCUGGUUCUCUUUUCAGGGAAAGAACACCGGAUGAAGCUGAAAUCUUAUUGAAUAAUAUGUUGACAAAUGAAAAUAAUUGGACACCUCCGGAGCUAGCUCUGGAGCCAACUCCUGCUCCAAUUAAUGAUCCUAUUCUUAAACCAACUUCGAAGAAGAGAGGUAUUCUAUUUCUCGGUCCUGAAGAUAUGCAAGAGGCAAAGAAAUCUAUGAAAGAAAAAGGUAUUAAAGCUGAAGAUGUUAAGAAUUUACCUCCUAUUGAAGAAAUACAUGGUCUUAAUUUACCGUCUGUUGAAGAAACAUAUGAUCGUAAUCCUUUAUUUAUUGAAGAACCUCCAGACCCCGAUAACCCGACACAGGUAGUAAAGGUAAAUUCUCUCUAUAGAUAUGAUAAAGCUGAAAUCCCUCCUGCUAAAAUUGCUAGUCAAUGCUUGGAUGAGUUUGAUAAUUUUAUGUUUAAACAAGAAGACUUCAAUGCUUAUUUUGGUAGACAAUUAAAACAAAAUGCUGAUAUGAUUAAAUACUUGGGUGAUUAUAUGGCCAAUAUUAAAGUUGAACUUAAACUUGUUAGCAAACAUGCUUCUAUGGUUACCACUCAAGUAGAACAAGUACUUAAAGCUCAAAAGGAAUUGCUCAAUGAGAUGAAUAGUAAGAAAAAUGAUUAUGCUGUUAAAGUGGCUACUAGAACUGGUAGAAUGACUCAGGAACCUUUGUAUCCUAAAGGCCACCCUAAGAGAAUUGAGCAAGAUUCUCAGAGAAAUAAAAUUGAUGCACCUAGUUCUUCUAAAAAGAAGAAAAAGAAAAAUGAUAGAACUGUGCAAACUUCUAGUGAACCUAUUGCUGAACCACCUGAUAAUCCAAAUCAUAUCUCUAUGUCUGAUGCUGAAACACAAUCUGGCAAUCAACAUGAACCUAAUGAAAAUGUUAAUGAUGAUGUUCAUAAUGAUGCUCAACCUAGUAAUGAUAAUGAUCUAGAAAUUGAACCUGCUAUUGAUCUUGAUAACCCACAAUCAAAGAAUCAACGUUAUGAUAAGAAAGACUUUGUUUCUAGGAAACAUGCUAAAGAAAGAGAGCCUUGGGUUCAGAAACCCAUGCCUUUUCCUCCCAAACCAUCCAAGAAAAAGGAUGAUUAG